UACGGGGGGAGCAAGCGUUGUUCGGAUUUACUGGGCGUAAAGGGCGCGUAGGCGGCCAGCACAAGUCAGUUGUGAAAUCUCCGAGCUUAACUCGGAACGGUCAACUGAUACUGUGCGGCUAGAGUGCGGAAGGGGCAACUGGAAUUCUUGGUGUAGCGGUGAAAUGCGUAGAUAUCAAGAGGAACACCUGCGGCGAAGGCGGGUUGCUGGGCCGACACUGACGCUGAUGCGCGAAAGCCAGGGGAGCGAACAGG
rnacentral:rRNA from 1 species